CUCGCUUCGCUUGCUCUCCGCUUCGACUAACGGCGCUUCCUGGUUAAGUUGAAGCCUCGAGAAUCGGCUUCUGCGCCGACGUCGACUCGGUUUGCUGGACUGGGCCUUUUGUUCGAUGGGCUUUGUGGAUGGGUUAAAUCCAUCCCCAACAGUAAGUCCCCCCCCCAGUUUAUUGAUGGUCGAGCAAUCGAUCUUCGAUGAAUUUGG
rnacentral:lncRNA from 1 species